rnacentral:rRNA from 2 species
GGGUUGUGAGGUUAAGCGACUAAGCGUACACGGUGGAUGCCCUGGCAGUCAGAGGCGAUGAAGGACGUGCUAAUCUGCGAUAAGCGCCGGUAAGGUGAUAUGAACCGUUAUAACCGGCGAUUUCCGAAUGGGGAAACCCAGUGUGAUUCGUCACACUAUCAUUAACUGAAUCCAUAGGUUAAUGAGGCGAACCGGGGGAACUGAAACAUCUAAGUACCCCGAGGAAAAGAAAUCAACCGAGAUUCCCCCAGUAGCGGCGAGCGAACGGGGAGGAGCCCAGAGCCUGAAUCAGCAUGUGUGUUAGUGGAAGCGUCUGGAAAGGCGCGCGAUACAGGGUGACAGCCCCGUACACAAAAGCGCAUGUGCUGUGAGCUCGAUGAGUAGGGCGGGACACGUGGUAUCCUGUCUGAAUAUGGGGGGACCAUCCUCCAAGGCUAAAUACUCCUGACUGACCGAUAGUGAACCAGUACCGUGAGGGAAAGGCGAAAAGAACCCCGGCGAGGGGAGUGAAAAAGAACCUGAAACCGUGUACGUACAAGCAGUGGGAGCACCCUUUUGGGUGUGACUGCGUACCUUUUGUAUAAUGGGUCAGCGACUUAUAUUCUGUAGCAAGGUUAACCGCAUAGGGGAGCCGGAGGGAAACCGAGUCUUAACCGGGCGUUAAGUUGCAGGGUAUAGACCCGAAACCCGGUGAUCUAGCCAUGGGCAGGUUGAAGGUUGGGUAACACUAACUGGAGGACCGAACCGACUAAUGUUGAAAAAUUAGCGGAUGACCUGUGGCUGGGGGUGAAAGGCCAAUCAAACCGGGAGAUAGCUGGUUCUCCCCGAAAGCUAUUUAGGUAGCGCCUCGUGAAUUCAUCUCCGGGGGUAGAGCACUGUUUCGGCUAGGGGGCCAUCCCGGCUUACCAACCCGAUGCAAACUGCGAAUACCGGAGAAUGUUAUCACGGGAGACACACGGCGGGUGCUAACGUCCGUCGUGAAGAGGGAAACAACCCAGACCGCCAGCUAAGGUCCCAAAGUCAUGGUUAAGUGGGAAACGAUGUGGGAAGGCCCAGACAGCCAGGAUGUUGGCUUAGAAGCAGCCAUCAUUUAAAGAAAGCGUAAUAGCUCACUGGUCGAGUCGGCCUGCGCGGAAGAUGUAACGGGGCUAAACCAUGCACCGAAGCUGCGGCAGCGACGCUUAUGCGUUGUUGGGUAGGGGAGCGUUCUGUAAGCCUGCGAAGGUGGCCUGUGAGGGUUGCUGGAGGUAUCAGAAGUGCGAAUGCUGACAUAAGUAACGAUAAAGCGGGUGAAAAGCCCGCUCGCCGGAAGACCAAGGGUUCCUGUCCAACGUUAAUCGGGGCAGGGUGAGUCGACCCCUAAGGCGAGGCCGAAAGGCGUAGUCGAUGGGAAACGGGUUAAUAUUCCCGUACUUGGUGUUACUGCGAAGGGGGGACGGAGAAGGCUAUGUUGGCCGGGCGACGGUUGUCCCGGUUUAAGCGUGUAGGUGUGUGUUCCAGGUAAAUCCGGUUCACUUUAACACUGAGGCGUGACGACGAGGCACUACGGUGCUGAAGCAACAAAUGCCCUGCUUCCAGGAAAAGCCUCUAAGCAUCAGGUAACAUCAAAUCGUACCCCAAACCGACACAGGUGGUCAGGUAGAGAAUACCAAGGCGCUUGAGAGAACUCGGGUGAAGGAACUAGGCAAAAUGGUGCCGUAACUUCGGGAGAAGGCACGCUGACACGUAGGUGAAGUGAUUUACUCACGGAGCUGAAGUCAGUCGAAGAUACCAGCUGGCUGCAACUGUUUAUUAAAAACACAGCACUGUGCAAACACGAAAGUGGACGUAUACGGUGUGACGCCUGCCCGGUGCCGGAAGGUUAAUUGAUGGGGUCAGCGCAAGCGAAGCUCCUGAUCGAAGCCCCGGUAAACGGCGGCCGUAACUAUAACGGUCCUAAGGUAGCGAAAUUCCUUGUCGGGUAAGUUCCGACCUGCACGAAUGGCGUAAUGAUGGCCAGGCUGUCUCCACCCGAGACUCAGUGAAAUUGAACUCGCUGUGAAGAUGCAGUGUACCCGCGGCAAGACGGAAAGACCCCGUGAACCUUUACUAUAGCUUGACACUGAACAUUGAGCCUUGAUGUGUAGGAUAGGUGGGAGGCUUUGAAGCGUGGACGCCAGUCUGCGUGGAGCCGACCUUGAAAUACCACCCUUUAAUGUUUGAUGUUCUAACGUGGACCCGUGAUCCGGGUUGCGGACAGUGUCUGGUGGGUAGUUUGACUGGGGCGGUCUCCUCCUAAAGAGUAACGGAGGAGCACGAAGGUUGGCUAAUCCUGGUCGGACAUCAGGAGGUUAGUGCAAUGGCAUAAGCCAGCUUGACUGCGAGCGUGACGGCGCGAGCAGGUGCGAAAGCAGGUCAUAGUGAUCCGGUGGUUCUGAAUGGAAGGGCCAUCGCUCAACGGAUAAAAGGUACUCCGGGGAUAACAGGCUGAUACCGCCCAAGAGUUCAUAUCGACGGCGGUGUUUGGCACCUCGAUGUCGGCUCAUCACAUCCUGGGGCUGAAGUAGGUCCCAAGGGUAUGGCUGUUCGCCAUUUAAAGUGGUACGCGAGCUGGGUUUAGAACGUCGUGAGACAGUUCGGUCCCUAUCUGCCGUGGGCGCUGGAGAACUGAGGGGGGCUGCUCCUAGUACGAGAGGACCGGAGUGGACGCAUCACUGGUGUUCGGGUUGUCAUGCCAAUGGCACUGCCCGGUAGCUAAAUGCGGAAGAGAUAAGUGCUGAAAGCAUCUAAGCACGAAACUUGCCCCGAGAUGAGUUCUCCCUGAGACUUAGAGUCUCCUGAAGGAACGUUGAAGACGACGACGUUGAUAGGCCGGGUGUGUAAGCGCAGCGAUGCGUUGAGCUAACCGGUACUAAUGAACCGUGAGGCUUAACCUUACAACGCCGAAG